rnacentral:rRNA from 1 species
GCUGGGUGGAUUAGUGGCGAACGGGUGAGUAACACGUGAGUAACCUGCCCCUGACUCUGGGAUAAGCGUUGGAAACGACGUCUAAUACUGGAUAUGACCGCCGAUCGCAUGGUCUGGUGGUGGAAAGAUUUUUUGGUUGGGGAUGGACUCGCGGCCUAUCAGCUUGUUGGUGAGGUAAUGGCUCACCAAGGCGACGACGGGUAGCCGGCCUGAGAGGGUGACCGGCCACACUGGGACUGAGACACGGCCCAGACUCCUACGGGAGGCAGCAGUGGGGAAUAUUGCACAAUGGGCGAAAGCCUGAUGCAGCAACGCCGCGUGAGGGAUGACGGCCUUCGGGUUGUAAACCUCUUUUAGUAGGGAAGAAGCGUAAGUGACGGUACCUGCAGAAAAAGCACCGGCUAACUACGUGCCAGCAGCCGCGGUAAUACGUAGGGUGCAAGCGUUGUCCGGAAUUAUUGGGCGUAAAGAGCUCGUAGGCGGUUUGUCGCGUCUGCUGUGAAAUCCCGAGGCUCAACCUCGGGCUUGCAGUGGGUACGGGCAGACUAGAGUGCGGUAGGGGAGAUUGGAAUUCCUGGUGUAGCGGUGGAAUGCGCAGAUAUCAGGAGGAACACCGAUGGCGAAGGCAGAUCUCUGGGCCGUAACUGACGCUGAGGAGCGAAAGCGUGGGGAGCGAACAGGAUUAGAUACCCUGGUAGUCCACGCCGUAAACGUUGGGCGCUAGAUGUAGGGACCUUUCCACGGUUUCUGUGUCGUAGCUAACGCAUUAAGCGCCCCGCCUGGGGAGUACGGCCGCAAGGCUAAAACUCAAAGGAAUUGACGGGGGCCCGCACAAGCGGCGGAGCAUGCGGAUUAAUUCGAUGCAACGCGAAGAACCUUACCAAGGCUUGACAUACACCGGAAACGGCCAGAGAUGGUUGCCCCCUUGUGGUCGGUGUACAGGUGGUGCAUGGUUGUCGUCAGCUCGUGUCGUGAGAUGUUGGGUUAAGUCCCGCAACGAGCGCAACCCUCGUUCUAUGUUGCCAGCGCGUUAUGGCGGGGACUCAUAGGAGACUGCCGGGGUCAACUCGGAGGAAGGUGGGGAUGACGUCAAAUCAUCAUGCCCCUUAUGUCUUGGGCUUCACGCAUGCUACAAUGGCCGGUACAAAGGGCUGCGAUACCGUAAGGUGGAGCGAAUCCCAAAAAGCCGGUCUCAGUUCGGAUUGAGGUCUGCAACUCGACCUCAUGAAGUCGGAGUCGCUAGUAAUCGCAGAUCAGCAACGCUGCGGUGAAUACGUUCCCGGGCCUUGUACACACCGCCCGUCAAGUCAUGAAAGUCGGUAACACCCGAAGC